AGGACGAACGCUGGCGGCGUGCUUAACACAUGCAAGUCGAGCGGAAAGGCCCUUCGGGGUACUCGAGCGGCGAACGGGUGAGUAACACGUGAGCAAUCUGCCCUUAGCUUCGGGAUAGCUCCGGGAAACCGGAAUUAAUACCGAAUAUGACUUCGGCCGACAUCGGCCUUGGUGGAAAGUUUUUCGGCUAGGGAUGAACUCGCGGCCUAUCAGCUUGUUGGUGGGGUAAUGGCCUACCAAGGCGACGACGGGUAGCCGGCCUGAGAGGGCGACCGGCCACACUGGGACUGAGACACGGCCCAGACUCCUACGGGAGGCAGCAGUGGGGAAUAUUGCGCAAUGGGCGAAAGCCUGACGCAGCGACGCCGCGUGGGGGAUGAAGGCCUUCGGGUUGUAAACCCUUUCAGUAGGGACGAAGCGAAAGUGACGGUACCUGCAGAAGAAGCGCCGGCUAACUACGCGCCAGCAGCCGC
rnacentral:rRNA from 1 species